GGUGUUUGUGAGCGCAACCGGACCCGUGUGAUCAGCUGUGACCGUGGGAAACGGACCCAGACCAGCAAAAAUCCGCAAGAAAAGCCACGUUAAACCACAUCAUGGAGUUUAAGGAUUCUUGUCUUCACGCAUCGCUCAAAGGUUCACCGGGAGCCGCGAGCUAGUAUAAAGUAAACGGCUCCUCUUCAGCGCUGUUUACUUUGCGUGUUUUUUAUAAGUUUGCCAUAUUAUCCUGGAACUCGUACUGUAACGCAUCAGCGCGCGUCCGUGUGCCUGCGGGGGAGCGGGGACGCGCAUGGAUCAAGGGUCCCGAACUGAAGCCCCCCUCAGAACUCAAUCCAGAGCUCGAACCGUCAGCCGAGAACACCCGGGGGAUGGACAGUGAGAGUCGGGCUGAACCCCUCCUCUUUAACGAGCACUUAUUUACACUGGAGUUACACGAUUUGUCGCCUUUUUAUCUUGAUUAACAAUUUUAAAUUAAACCUAUAUAAUUAUAAAAGCUGGAGAAUAGCGUUUAAGCACUUUUGGAGUUAAAUGAAUUAUUAUUAUUAUUUUUGUUACAUUUUAUUAUUAUUAUUUUACUCAGUAUUUUACCCUAAGAGUGGGUCCUGUCAGGUUAGUAUUGGAAUAAAUAAUAAUUUUUAGCGAUUUUGUGAUGAGGCGUACAGGAGGUCGGACUGCAGCGCGCGGGGGAGGACUCUCCGGUGGAAUUAUUGCGCAGUUUUUAAAAUAACGGGAUAACGGAUCACGGACUGAGACACACUCAUGGCACAGAGCAUGUCUGCGAAAGAUAACGCCUGCCGCAAAUUCCAGGCCAAUAUUUUCAACAAGAGUAAAUGCCAGAACUGCUUUAAAGCGCGAGACGCGCACCUGCUCACAGAUGAAGACGUCACGCAGGCAAAACCCAUCUAUGGUGGAUGGCUGCUCCUGGCACCUGAAGGAACAAAUUUUGACAAUCCUCUACACAGAUCACGGAAAUGGCAAAGACGCUUUUUCCUCCUGUACGAGCAUGGACUGCUGCGUUAUGCGCUGGAUGACAUGGCCAGUACUCUACCACAGGGCACUAUAAACCUGAAUCAGUGUGUGGACGUUGUGGAUGGUGAAAGCCGGACAGGACAGAAACAUUCGCUGUGUAUCUGCACACCUGACCAAGACCAUUACAUACGUGCUGAGAGUAAAGAGGUCAUACAUGGAUGGCAGGAGGCGCUGAUGGUGUUUCCUCGAACUAACAAACAGAACCAGAAGAAGAAACGGAAAGUGGAGACACCCACCCCCCAGGAUACUGCUCUGCUAACGGGUCGAUGCUCCCAGCAGAACAUGAAUGGGUGUAUCGAACCGGGUCCUGCAAAAGUGACCGUCACUAGUACGAGCAGUAGCAACAGCAGUGGUAUGGUGUGUCUGCCCAGCACUAUAGCUCACGCUGAGAGAGUGCCACCCACCCGAGCCUCUCUAUGGCAGGAGGAAACAUGGAGUCAAGCUGCUGUACCAACAACCUGUUCGUCUACCAACCUGAGCCAACAUUCAGAGGUAUCUAGAAGCUUGAGUGUUGGUCGUAAGCCUCGGGUAGAGAGUGGAUAUUUUUCACUGGAGAAAAACAAACCCAAAGAAGACGAAAGGCGACAGCAUCAACGUCAGCGCGAGCAGGAGCCCGAACCACCGCAGCAGCUUCCCACUCUUUUCUCUGCUUCCUCCUCUCGCUUCAGGUAUCUCUCCUUCGAUCCUGAACAUUACGGCUCCCCAGUCAACUCUUCACAGACCACACAAACGCCACACACUGCUGCUAACACACAGACUGCUAAACCACCGAACGCCUGUGCUAACAAACGCAACACACACCCUGACAACACACAAAGACUAGAGGAGCAUCUUUCACCUGAAACAUACACUCAUGACUACAUGGAUGCCACAUCACUGGAUUUCAAGCCCUCUUCAGACACUAAACUUGCACACACACGCCACCACACAAACAUUCUCCCAUCAUCCCUGUCAUCUUCUCGGAGCUCUUUGAACUCUGAGUUGAGUCCACCAAACUGCAGCGCUAUGCCUGGUGUGGGCGGAGCCUCGGGCAGGGCAGGGCGAGGCGGGCAGAGUUACGCGGCCUUGGCGGAUGUGCCACGGGCACGGAGACUCAGUCAUCGGGAAGCGUUCCGAUCCAAUCAUUGGCGACCGGAGCUGCGAGCGCGCACAAAGAGCCCGGGUAGGGAGGAAGUAGAACGACUAUUCGGACUGGACCGAAGGCGCUCUCAGUUCAUCGAGAGAUUUGAAUGUCACGACACCGUCGACACUCCGGAGCAAAUGGACACCACAAAUUCUUCAACAGAGCCCGCCCCUUCCUUCUCCAGAACGGCCAAUCAGAGAGCAGGACGCAAUGAGAGACGCCUCUCCAACCAGAAACAGGAGUUUUCAUUGGAUUCAAGUAAAGGCCGAACAGAUGCUGUUUCAUCACAAGCUGGUUUCAGAAGGGCCAAAAGUCUGGACCGCAGAGCCACAGAGACACUCAUGACUCCUGACCUGCUGAACUUUAAGAAAGGAUGGAUGACCAAACUAUACGAAGAUGGACUGUGGAAGAAACACUGGUUUGUUUUGACGGAUCAGAGUUUGAGGUUCUAUCGGGACUCCAUCGCUGAAGAGGCUUCCGAUUUGGACGGAGAAAUUGAUCUGUCCACAUGUUACGAUGUGACUGAAUUCCCAGUUCAGAGGAACUAUGGCUUCCAAAUCUUGAGUAAAGAGGGGGCGUUCACGCUGUCUGCGAUGACCUCUGGGAUUCGUCGCAACUGGAUUCAGGCCAUUCUUAAGAACAUGCGGCCCGCUGUUGCCCCGGAUGUCACACGGAAAAACGUAUCUCUGAAACUUUCAGUUCUUAUGCCCAGUUCUCUUCCAGAGGAGCAAAGCAGAUCAAAUGUUGAACAAAAUUUCAUCCAGCCCUCUCCAAACUCUUUACAACUCUCUAACAGCUCUGGAGUUGAAGCCAAAAGGUCACAUGAGAACAUCACAGACCCUAUUUCUCCCCCUGAGCAAUGCAAGAGUCACAUCUCCAAGCGAGAGGGACGGUCAAAAACCUUCGAUUGGGCCGAGUUUCGCCCAGGACAGGAAAAUGAGAGUAAACGACCCUCAAGGAAGAGGGCAGAUACUUCAGUCAUUACCUCCACGUCACCUCCCUCCUCCAUCUCCUCAGCUGCUUCCUCUCCCAUCUCUAGUUCCUCCUCUCCUCUGACAUCCUCCUCCAUUACUAUCAACAGCCAUACUGACAAAUUGCCACAACAAGAUGAAGAAGAAUUGGUGCAGAAUUCUAUGUGCCAGGAACACCAUCUUCAGACCACACCUACCUCGACUACGUCUGAACCCCCUUCAAAGCUCCCCUAUAAAGUGCCACAAGAACAGGUGAGAAUAGAUGGAGACCAACCCAGAGACAUGCAGGAGGUCGAUGGUCAUCAAGUGGACCGCAGAAACUCUGACGUCCAAGUAGAGAUUGAGCAGAGGUGGCAUCAGGUGGAGACCACGCCCCUAAGAGAGGAAAAGCAGGUGCCAAUCACUGGUAGCUCCACCCCUAACACCUCAAAUGCACCUGUUGGAGAGAGGCUCCUCCCACAAGAGCUUACCACCAUACUAGAAAAGGAGUUGGGUCAAGCACAAAGGGAGCUGGCCAGACUCCAACAACAGAACAGCGUUCUACAGGAACAACUUCAGGAUUCUCAUGGGAGAGAGCUGAAUGCCCGAGAAGGAUACAUACUACAGAGUGACACAACCUCUACAAAGCUUUCGUCUGAUGCAGCUUCGACCUUGGUUCACCGAGCACCAUUGAAGCGCCUCAACAAGCUAAACCAAGAUCUAAAGACUGAGCUAGAUUCCCAGCGACGGAGGCAGGAUAAGGCCCAUCAAAAAGUUAACAGCUUAAGACGUAGCUAUAGUGAAGCACAAGAUAUAAUCGGCCACCAUGAGGCUGAGAUCGAAACCUUGGAGGAAAAGCUGACAGUUGCUAUGAAGGAGAUUGUAGCGAGUGAGCAGGCAGUGGCCCGAAUGCGUAGUGAGCUGAAAAUAGAACGAGUUCGCUGUCACGAGCGCGAGGAGGAGUGGACUCGAAAUGAGGGGACUUUGCGCACACAGUUACGAGAAAGUGAGGAACGUCUUCAGCAAGUAGAAGCCAGUCUUCUAGAGAAGAGCCAGGAGUUGAGAAAGCUAGAACAACAGCAAGCUUUGCAGAAGGACCAGCACCGUGAGGUGCAAAGACUACAGGAGAGACUCACUGAGGCCACAGGACAUCUGAUUUCAAUGGAGGAGGCUCAGAGUCUGAGAGAGGAACGAGAGAGGAAAGAGCAGCGAUGCCUGGAGGAAAAACAUGAGCGGGAGCGGCAGGGAUUAACCCGGAGGUUGGCCGAGUCCGAAGAGAGGAGGCAAGAAAUAGAGGAGCAGCUGCAAGAGAUGCAGGAACAGGUGGAGGCACUGCUGAGAGGGAGUGGUGGGCUGGAAAGUGUGCGACUCAGAGAGGAGGUGCACCGUCUUCAACUGGAGUUGGAGGCACAGAUUGAUAUGUCGGAAAUGUUACGUGAGAACGUGAAGAGACUGGAGGAGGAACGUGACCAACUUAUGUACCGCUGUCAGGAACUCCUUAAUCAGAUUGCUGAGGCUGACCAGGAGGUAGGGAAACAUCAGGCACAUUUAAUGACAGUGGAAACAGACUAUCAUUCUCUUGAGAGCUCAUAUGAGCAUGUCUCCGAAGAAUUUGCUAGGAUAAGUCAGGUGCUACAAGAGAAGGAAGAGGAAGUGAAGCAGACAAAGGAGAUGUAUGAGCAGCUAAUAAGACAAAAAGAGCAGGACUUGAGUGAGGCCCUCAUUAAAAUGGGUGCCUUGGGUAGUAGUCUAGAAGAAACAGAACUUUACUUGCAGCAAAAAGAGGAACUUCUUUCUAAAAUGGAGCAUUACUAUCCAGGGCUGGUAGAGUCCCGUAGAGCAGAACAGGAGUUGCAGGCAAAAUUAGUGGUUGCAGAGGACAGGAUUGCUGAGUUGGAAGAACACCUUAACGCCUUGCGACUCGGAUAUACUGAUCUCGGGAUGAGACGUUGCCGCUCACAGGAAGACGUGCUAGAUGGUUUGAAGGAGAUGCAACUGGAUGUCUCAUCAUCCUCAAGUUCCUCCCAACUUUCGCUUGCUAGAAGUAGCUCGGAGACAGAAAUGUCCUUGGUAAAGAGGCAGAGGAUUCGCUUUUCCACCAUUCAGUGCCAAUCAUAUCACCAGUCAGACAAGUUUCAGUCAGAAAAUACAUCUUUGGAUCUGACGCAAGAUCUGAGCCUGGACCAUAUGCAUGACAUAAUCCUGUCCCGAGAUAGCAGUGUAGGCAGUGUAAGUUCAUUCCAACAGUGCAAAGAACCAGAGAAGUUCAUUUCCAUCAUACAUGCUCUGGAAGCCAAGCUGUUGGCCACCGAGGAGAAGCUCAGGCACCUCACAGAGAAGAUUCGGGAACAGCCUGAUUGUUCAGAGUUGCAGGAACAUACGAGCACUAGAUCUACCAUGGAAGACGGGAUGACUAAAACCUGUGAGGAAUUACCAAUGGAUGAACCCAAUCAGGAAUCCCUCAACACAACUUUUGUUGAGCUAGACAGUCGAGUCUUAAGUGACAAAUAUGAGAAAGCCUUGGCAUUGGUUGAGUCUUGCACAGUAAGAAUUCGAGAAAUUCUCAGCAGUCAGAAUGACACCAGCACUGCUAAAUCUCUCAUUUGCACUCUUGCAGAAGUGGAACAAUGUCUGGUUUGUGCCACCAUGCACCUGAGGCAAUGCAGCAUGUCCUAUGAGGAGUGUCAGACUUCUGAGGUCCCAGAUAUGGGUUCGAAGUCACUGAAGGAAAGUAUAGAGCGCUUUGCCAGAAUGUUGUCUUUUGAGGCUGAAGUUCUGGAGAGGAUGGGCUUCUCCCUGCAGGAGAUGAACUCUGAUAUUAUGUCAGCACUCAACUCCAUUCACAAGGAUGCAGAAAACAUAAAAAAGAGCUGUGAUGGUGGUCUCUCAAUCGUUUACGCUGAUAUACUUACUAGGAAACUUAUGCUGGAGACUAUGUUCUUAGCAGAAGUGAACAAGACAAGUGCUAAUUCAGGUAAACUAGCAAAUAGCCCCUUUUUGCAGGAUGUCAUUAAGAAUGCCUGUAUUAGUGCAGAGCUUGCGUAUUCGCUUCAGAAACUAACAAUGAAUUUCCAGGACAAAUUUGAUGAGCUUCAAAGGGACUUGGUCAAGGCAAAUGAGGCAUUGAAGCAAAGGGACGUGGCUCUGAAAGAUGCUGUUAACACAUCAAAGCAUGCUCACAUUGAAAGCAUGACUGCAAGUAAUAGUAGUGAAGGAUGUUGCACUGACGUCACACAUCCUGAACUUGCCCCCUAUAUGGAGCAGAUUGAGAUGAAAGAGGCUCAGAGUUUAGCGGCAGAGAUUGUACACCGACACUUAUUGGACAGUGCUGAAUCUGAAUCACAUCUGCAAAUGGGCUGGGACAAUCUCAUUGCUGAGCUCAAGAAGCAAGCCAAAGCCCUCCGUAGUCUCUCUCGGGAGAUUGAGAGGAUACGUGAGGACGGAGAAACUAGGUCACUCUCUGCACUUGCUGAAGCCAUCCAGACAAGCUCAUGGCACAGCGACUCUAGAAUUCUAACAUGCAGUUCAGUUUGCAUGCGAGAAGCACUGAUGCAGGCACAGGUUGCGUAUGUUGCUUGCAGGUUGAGAGCUGGUCACACAAGAGAACUGUCUCUUUGCCAAGUCACCAGCCAGAACAUGGCGGCACUGGUCCAGGAACACACUGAGAAGGUUGCAGCCAUCCAAAAGCACUACCAGAGCUGUUUAGAGAAAGAACAUCUCAGCUUCAUUGAGACUAUCAGCUCCUUGCAGGAGGAGAACGACAUGCUACGAGGAGAACUAACAUAUAAGCUGAGGGAGCUGCAGGAGCAAAGGCAGAACCUGAUCCAGUUGGAAGAGGCAUUUGAAAAGGACAAAAAGGAGCUGAAGAGCAGGCACGCUGACGAGAUGGGCAGGGCAGAGCAGGAGAAGAUAGCUCGAGAGAUGGACCUAAUGGAUCGUGUUGCUACCAGCCAACGUCGGCUGGAGGCCCUGCUGCUGGAAAUGGGAGACUCUGAGCUGAGGCACAAGGAGCAUGUCGGAAAACUGGAGCAGGAAUUUCAGGGCAAGCUCCAGCAAUUAGAACACGCCAACAGAGAGGAGCUUCAUAAGCUCCAAGAAUGCUACAGUCAGACCAUCUGCUCACUGGAAGAGAGGAGCAAUAGAUUCGAGAAAAAAGAUGAGGCUGGUGCCACGUUAAACACAGUAUGUCCUAUGGAGGAUGGAGAUGGAUCUGGUCAGGUAGUGUGCAGGGAUUCAGAGUCCCUGCUGAGAGUCCAGGAGCUGGAGAUGCAGCUGAGCAGUAUGAGAGAGGAGAUGGAACAGAAACCGCUGGAAGGAGAUCUGACCAGCCUGAAGGAGAAGUACCAGAGAGACCUGGACAGCCUCAAGGCGACAUGCGAGCGUGGAUUUGCAGCGAUGGAGGAGACUCAUCAGAAGGUGAUCGAAGACAUUCAGAGGCAGCACCAGCGAGAGAUCCAGAAACUUCUAGAGGAGAAAGAAAGACUGCUGGAGGAGGAAACCAAUGCUACUAUCGCUGCAAUUGAAGCCAUGAAAAACGCUCAUCGAGAGGAACUGGAGAAAACACAGCGGGCACAAAUGAGCGGUGUGAGUCCAGACAUCCAGGAACUGCGCAGACAGUAUGAAGAGGAGCUGCAGUCUAUCCAUCGUGAGCUGGAGGUUUUAUCCGAGCAGUAUUCCCAAAAGUGUUUAGAGAACGCACAUCUGGCUCAAGCCCUGGAGGCAGAGAGACAAGCGUUGGGGCAAUGCCAGAGAGAGAACCACAAACUACACACACACAACCAGGAACUAAAUCAUCGUCUGAAUGAAGAAAUCACUCGAAUGCGCUCCUGCGUCAGUGGAGACAAAGCAACUUUCUCGCUGACUCAGGGCAAAGACAUCUAUGAACUGGAGGUUUUGUUGCGUGUGAAGGAGUCAGAGAUACAGUACCUCAAACAGGAAAUAAACUCUCUAAAAGACGAGCUGCAGUCAGUACUUCGGGAUAAGAAGUAUGCAUCAGAUAAAUACAAAGACAUUUACACGGAGCUGAGCAUUGUGAAAGCUAAAGCUGAUUGUGACAUCAUCAAGCUGAGAGAGAAACUACUGGCUGCUACAGAAGCGCUCGGUGAAUUAGACACUGAGGGAGGAGCCGUUACCGCAGGAUACGACAUCAUGAAGUCGAAGAGUAACCCAGAUUUCCUGAAAAAAGAAAAGUCCAGACAGUUACGCGGGGUCAGGUCAAAGGCAGAGUGAAGGGUUGGUUGGGGGUAGCUGACCGCUGUGACCCCGUCUGGUUCAACAGGUGAAGCAGAGUUUGAAAGAGGGAUUGACAGUCCAGGAGCGAAUGAAACUGUUCGAAUCGAAAGACUCCAGGAAGAUAUAACAUGUCUCUCGUGCAUCUUUCUUUCUUUCUGUUGUUCCCAUUUGUAUUCUAAAUGUAUGUAUUUCUUGAUUAAGAUCUUGCUUAGACAAAAGCAGGGUAAAGAAUUAAAAGAAGUCUUUCUUUUUGGUGUUUUAAAGGAGUUUUGUGUGAAUUAAGGCAUUGCAAUGUUUCAAUAUUUACACAGACCAUUAUUUUUUGCCAACCUUCAACUCUAAUGAACCUCAUUUUGUUAUGUUUUCUUUGGUCUCUAUGAAUAUUAUGAGCAAGUUAAUGCUUCUCACCACCAGUAUACAUUGACACUUAAAACACUGCUUAUAAAGAAUGCUAAAUGUGUAUGUGUGUUUUUCUUGGAAAACUGAUUGCUGUUCUGGUCUAUUUUGGUGACAUUUGCAUGAUUUUUUGAGAGAUAAUUGUCAAAAGAGUGAUGUUAUUUUGCCAAUGAUAUUGUAAAUAUGAGUAAAGUUGGUUGUGUGCACAAGUGAUGAUGCUUUUCAGACUUUAUAGUACUUUAUUAAGACGAAAUGAUUUAGUUUAUAUAAGCUGGGUAAUUUGAGAAAACAGUGUGUGAGUGUUUUGUAGAGUGUAUAUUUGACUGUCAAAGAGUUUUUGGGUGAUUUGUAGAAUGUGCUGAAAUCAUUUACUUGAGGGGAAUCAAAUUGCUGUUUUAAUUGCUUUUGUUUUGCUUCCAUGUAUGAAAUCUAGAGCAACCAAACUUGAUAUCUACUGUCAGUCUUGCGGCAUAAAAUGUUUGUUUGGCUACUGAUAUUGAGCUUAGUAAUUACAUUUGAACAGAGGAAUUUUUAUACUGUGGAAUUGUUUGUAGUUUGUUUAAUACUGGCCUUUGCAUGAAUAUGAAGCACUUUGACAAAGUCACAAUAAUAUAUUUACGUGCUCUGAUUUUGAAACAUGUGAUUCCAUAUUCCUUCUGUUCCAGAAUUCCGAACAUAUUGAACACACAACAGAGAAAACUAACUGUAUAAUAUUCAAUACUUGCUUUGUAAAUACAGUAUUUGGUUUUAGAGAAAAUAUCUUUAUCCUGUUCUCUCGGUCUACUAGAGAAAAUUCUUUAUAUCCAUCUAUAUACAGUAUGUCUACAUUCAAUUGCCUAUCAAUAUGAAUAUUUUUAUUUUGAUGUGUGUGAAUGUGAUCUGUAAUAAAAAUGUUUUUUGAACCUA